AGCGAACGCUGGCGGCAGGCCUAACACAUGCAAGUCGAACGAAGUCUUCGGACUUAGGGGCGGACGGGUGAGUAACACGUGGGAACGUGCCUUUAGGUGCGGAAUAACUCAGGGACACUGGUGCUAAUACCGAAUGUGCCCUUCGGGGGAAAGAGUUAUCGCCUUUAGAGCGGCCCGCGUCUGAUUAGCUAGUUGGUGAGGUCAAGGCUCACCAAGGCUACGAUCAGGAGCUGGUCUGAGAGGCUGACAGGCCACAUUGGGAAUGAGGCACGGCCCAAACUCCUACGGGAGGCAGCAGUGGGGAAUCUUGCGCAAUGGGCGAAAGCCUGACGCAGCCAUGCCGCGUGGAUGAUGAAGGUCUUAGGAUUGUAAAAUCCUUUCACCGGUGAAGAUAAUGACUGUAGCUGGAGAAGAAGCCCCGGCUAACUUCGUGCCAGCCGCCGCUGUAAAAC
rnacentral:rRNA from 1 species